ensembl:lncRNA
UCGAUUUGGGAGUGAGGGCUUAAACCUGGAGAGCGCGGAAUCUGGUGCGGAGUUGGAGUUCCAAGACCGGAGGUGGGGAACGCCGGGGUGACACCAUGUGCGGGGAGAGCGACUGGAAUAAUAGGAGUGGUGGCCGGGGAAGAACCUGGGGUGUCCGCCCCCAACCCGGCUCUCCUUCGCUUGGAUUCUCUGUCCUCCGAAUGCAGAAUCCGAGGCACGGUGUGUCCGGACAAGAGGAGCUUCUUGGCUUCGGUAUGUAUGUGUGUCUGUGUGUGCGCGCGCGCGUUUGCUGUGUGUGUCGGUCUAUUUGAUUUCCUAACGCUUUUAAGAAGGCUAAAGCAGACACCUGCCACCCUCGCAGUGGGGCCGCUAGUUGGGAUUGCAUUUCGCUGGGGGCGAAGAGGCAGAUGUGGCACUUAGUUUAACACCUGGGCGAAGGUGCAGAGCCCGGGUGCGAGUCUUUACAGAUCCAGCGAGAGCCUGCGCUCGCGGAGCGCGGGCCGCUGAAUUGCACCGGCUCUCCUCUCUGGAACCCUCCCCCAGGGCAGCCUCUUUACAGCUGGGUUAAUUUCUGUGUGAUUUUUAAGCGGUGGGGGCUGGAGGAGGGUUGAUUUCGAGCAGCAGAAUUCACUUGUCUACUUCGGACUUGUGCAUGUUGGAAUUGUAAUCCUCUUCGGCGUGUGUGGGACUCUCCUGGCACGCGGAUUCGAAGUGGUAGAGGAAGCAGAGGUUUGGGCAUUGCAUCCAUAUGGACAGAUUUCAAAACGCAAACAUUCGUUUGUCUGUAAGUGCUAUUUGAACCCGUCCGAUGGCUGUAAGGAUAUGCUUUCUUCCUGGUAUCCGUGUUUGCAGUGUGAAACGAUGGCUCUCCUUAGGAGGUAAAUAUAUUUAUCUAAUCGUUUAUGUUAAGGACACCGAUUAUUUCACUGUAUGCUUUGCACAGACCUUUCAUUUCUCUCUCGGCCUCAGAAUGCCAGCAAGCCAGCAGUCCUCCAUGUGGGGUCUUUCGGGGUCAUGAUUUGAAAAAUAAUCUGUGUGAAAAGUAUGUCUGUGGGUUAUGUAGUCCCAGAUGAUCUUAUGUGGUGAGCUCAUUAUAUUGCAUGAAGCAUCCAUCACUAUUUUUGGGGUUUAAAACAAUGCCCCUGUAUUUACUUAUGAGGCAUGUAUGAAAACAUACACUCAGAAUGAGGAGAGCUGACCCUGGAACAAAUCCAUGAGUAUAGACAGGUUUGUGGUAGCAGCUUAUUAAUUAAAGCAAAAGAAAACCCUGAGGUCUUUUUGUUCCAAAUGUGGUGGGAUAGACAUGGCGUUGGGUGCACCCUCUGGUUAUGGGAGCUGGUAUUGCGGAGUAUACAUAGAGCAUGCCUGCCUCCCCAGCCUGCACUCAACAUGCCACAGCAAUGUGGGCUUGAUCAUAUAUUCCUAGCGCUGGAUAGCUUAUCUUUUGAUUUUGUUUACAAUGGUCUGUCGCAAUUAGCUUAAUAUGUAAUUAGCUGUUGUUGAGCUAGAAAGCACAAUAAUUCUGAAAUGUGUUUCCAUAUGGAAAUAUAACUUGAGUUUAAAUUACUAAUUUAAAAUUAAUUAAUUACAGGUCUGAUUUAGACUGUUUCUGUAGGCUUGGGAGGAUGCUAUAAGAUUGAAUUUAAUCUGAAAAUAGUAGUAUUGAAGUACUUAUUUUUAAAUAGAAACCAAUAUUUAUUUCAGGUUACUUGACAUUUUAAAAAGAAUAUUGGAGAAAAAGUAGAUUUUGAAAAGGUUUUUUGAUAAUGUGUAUUUUCACAUGGCAAAUUAUGAGAAAAUUGUAACUUGUGAAAAAGGAAAGCAUGCUUAUGGAAUUGGUUAAGAUUUAAAGAAUGAUUGAGAGUGUUCCAAUAAUGAGUAGUGCUGCAUUAAACCUACAUUUAAACUUACUUAGGAAACUUUUUUAACUUUUAGGGAAAUGAGUGCCUAUAUAUUACUUUAUUUUUCUUCCUGGGACAAAAGGUAAAUGUAUAACUUCAAAAAUUUUAUUUCUGAAGAGUAUUUAGGCAUACUUUAAAGUUCUUUAGGGUGUACUCUUUCAUUUAUCUUCCUUAUAAAGGCAACUGAUUUAUUUCCCUAAAAAAUAAAUUUUGUUCAUUAUUUUAAGCUACAGAGUGUGAAAACAUGAACUUCUUUGCAUGAUAUUUUAGCUUUCAAUUGCAGACAACCUGUUGAACAUGAGCCCAGAAAAAAAAAAAAUUCACAGAACUAGAACUUCUUGAAUCCAUACCAGGAAACUGAUUAAACAGAAAAUUAAAUCAUCUGAUUAAAAGCCAAGUUGCCUUAUGUAUUUGAACUUAAGAAAGUAAUCAUUUUGUUCAAGUUUUUACCUAAUAUUUCCUCUAUUAUUCCCCAAGCUAACAUAGUGUUCUUGCCUAAUAAAGUUGUUAACAUUGGCAAAAUUAGUUGCUUACCCCUAAAUGUCCUGGAUGUUGUCAGUGUAACUAUUAAGAAACUGGGUCUUGUUUGCAGUGCAGGGAAGUUUAUGUAGAGAACAGCUGUGCUGUGGUGGCGCCUCAGAUAGGAAAUGAAUGAAUUGUGGCUCUCCCAAAGCAUACACCUCUGAUCAGGAUGCAGAGUGAUGCGCCUGUCCUUCACUUAUGAGACCUAAUUUGAUAUCAUAAUGUAUUGUGACUAAUAGCAUUAUCCUCCCAUUGUGGCUCUGAAGUAUUAAUGAGUGACUGGAAAUAUUUUGCACAAUAAGUUGUUGAAUUUAAAACACAUCUGUCUUACCAAAGAAUAUCAAAAAGGCAAAUGUAGCUUCAAUAAGAAAAAAAGUCAAAUCCCUCCACAGCUUUAAAAAAUUAAUCAGGAUAAUCAAAUAUGUCUCAUGCUUAGUCCUCAAAUGCAGUGCUUUUUAGGUGUGAUGGCCGUGAAAUGUUCCACAAGAUUUUUCAUCUGUCAGUCUCAUUUAGUCCAGUGGAAUCCCUAUCCUGGUUAUUAGUCUUAACAGCACUUUGGGUUACAAUUUCAUCGUGAAUGGAAAGUUUUAACUUUAGAGGGAAAAUGUGAAGAGAUCAUUGAAGGAAUUUUACAGGAGGCAAAGCUAGUCAAAUUAGAUAUUAAUUUGUUUCUUGAAUGGGACGGUCUGUAUCUUUUCCAUUAAGGAAGUGUUCCUCGUUCCUGUCAAAAUCCAAGUAGCCUCUUUGAAUCCUAAAUCAGUCAUCACUUCUUCCGUCACAGAAAGGUUGUGCAGGGACCCUUUUCCAUUGUCAACUCAGCGUCUGCAGGACCCUGAAAGUUGCCUAUCCUGGGCAGUACAGAUCUGCACCUGCACUGUCCUCAAACAAAGAAAGAAAGACAGUUUUGUUGCGGUGAAUCUGUUGCAAAUGUUCAAUCACAGUGGGCCUCACAGGAAAAGCAUGUUCCUUUUCCAGAGCAUGUCUUUUCCAGAGCAUGUCUUUCCCAGAGCACAGGUGGAGAUGAUCAGGUGGUGGUUGUGGAGUGGCUUUGUGGUUGAAGGGCAUGGUGCCUGUGCGCGGGCUUUGUGAUCAGUCUCUGAAGCACUGUGAAACUCCGUGCAUGUUCUGGAUGCAUACCUUCCUUAAUAUUCCUUGGCCUGGGGCCUGGAGAGCCAGUGUGUAGGUGUCCCCCUGGCUCAGUAGUUGGCUGCUGUGUGUUCCUUUUUGUCCAGAAGUUUGGGCGGCUUGCAGACUCCCCUGCCUCUGGCAGGCUCUCCCCUUCAGGCUGGCUGUUUUUAUUCUCCCACCUGUUGGAACUUCCUGCUCACAAGCUCCUGAAGGCCAAGUUCUCUGGCUGGCGUGCACCUUCUCGUACUUCCUCUGCGGCUUGCCACAUGGACACAGGACCUGGGAUCUACUGGCGAUGACAGCAAGCAGGCAGGAGGAAUAUUUGAGCCACUGCCAUCUUCUUCUUACCAGUGGUGCCAGCUCAUCCUGAAGCCAGCCAGAAUGAACAUUUUGAGGAGAAACAGUGGUGAAAGAAAGCUAUGGUAGCUGGCAGACACACUAUGGGCUUUGAGCUCUUGUCUUCCCCAGCCCUGCUCUGGUGAGACUUGGGGUCUGGCCUUCCAGAUUCAUCAACCAGUGCAGCCCACAGAAGAGGGAAGCCUGAGAUGGGUUUACCUGCCGUGACCCUAGUGAACUCUCCUGAUUCCCAUGCCUAGCUAACUUCACAGUUUGUGCAUCUCUUGUAUUUGCCAUUUCACAGGACUGAACUUCUCCCCUAUAUUCAGUUUGCCUUUGUAGGACUGAAGUCAUUCUGGAAAGAUUAGCAUGACCUUGACAAUUAGUCUCCCUCUUUCCAAGACCUUCUGCCCAGAAGCAGCAGUCCCUGCUGCAGCCCUAAAGUGGACAGGGGCACGGCCUGGGCCUGAGGCACGGCCACCCUUGUGACUCUGCACCAUGUCUGCCUGGAGACUUGUGCUGCCAAGUUCCACUUGACAGAUCUCCUUGUGUGUCAUUGUUGGCAGGAUCAAAUCUCUGUUCUCCAUACUCCUCCUGGCCACUGUAAUUUGAGUUGUUGACUCGCACUACAGAAUUAAUCCUUCAUUAGGUCAUUUGUUCUAGCCUAGCCCGUGCUUACUUCCUGUCCCCAGUGUUCCCUUGAAAUCUGGCACACCAGCUGAGCCAUGACAUAUCCUACCUUCAGUCACCUCUAUUGCAGGAAGUGGAGUUUGUCUAGACAUCCUGGGUUGAGCAGGAUAUCCUCCAGUAAAUACUGUUCAGGUCAAAUUCAGGUGAGGUUAAACCAGUAUAAGAUAUCACCAGCCAGUUUCAGAGAGGAGGGGGCUGCCAGUUGUCUCUUGCGAAGACUGCACAUUUAUGGUUAUGAGGUGCUUUGAUGUUCUCCUAAGGAAGCCUUCUCAUUGAUCAUAGGUAGCUAUGGCCAUGGCAUUGGAUUCACUCAAAAAUAUCCUGUCAGUAAGCUCUAGGAAAAGGGAUCUGCUGACAGCCUUUGUCAGUAUUUUUGUAUGUAUUACUCUGGAGCAGAUUACCUCAUUAGGAUUGGCUCUGGGACCCAGUCUGGAGAGAAACCUAGUACCUGCUUAUAUAGGUACCGCGUCUUGCCCACUGCCAUUUGAAGUUUCAUCCAGCCACCUCUCACCUCAGUGUACCCCAAUCUAGUGGUAUUGUGUAGACUCUAAGAAUCCAUAUAAAUUUCAAGUGUCACUAUGUUCUGUGUAUCUAUAUAUCUUUAUUUAUCUCUAUAUUUCUAAAUAUCUCUAUAUUUCUACAUCUCUGUAUCUAUGUACAGUCAUUUUAGAGGAUUAUUAAGCCCAUUAGUUUUUGGUGAUUUUCAACUUUUUUUGAGCUCAGCUGUCAUGUUCAGAAACACAACUGUCAUGCAGAGAUCCCUCAAAUCAAUUGCACCAGAAAGAAAUUCUCAUACAUGCUGACUGCUUAGCCACUCAGUCAUGUCUGACUCUUUGCCACCCUAUCCACUGUAGCCCACCAGGCUUCUCUGUCCAUGGAAUUCUCCAGGCAAGAACACUGGAGUGGGUUGCCAUUUCCUCCUCCAGGGAAUCUUCCCAGUCCAGGGAUUGAACCCGUGUCUCCUGUGUCUCCUUCGUUGGCAGGCAGGUUCUUUACUUCUGAAGCCACUGGGGAAGUCCCUCUUAUACAUGAUGUGAAAGCAAAGAGUUUUCUGUGUUCCUUGCCUGUGAUUUCUCACAUGCAUGAUAAUACCCACCACAUUUCUUACCUGGUGGGAGGGGAGCCCUGCAGGGAAACUGGCAUUGCCACAAGGUUCCUUUACCUGGGGUCCUCCCAUUUUCCCUCUUAACCCCCAAACCCUCCUCGUCACACAGGAAGUAACAGCCUUUUUCAGCUUUCCUUGGGUGUGGCUAUUAUUCUGCUUUCCCUGGGAUAAAUUAUUUUCAGUCCCUCAGUUCAUUUAAUAAUAAGGGUUAGGGUUAGAGUCUGAGCAACUGGAGGUCACGUAUCUUUGCUCUGAGUUCUGGUUUUCUCAAUAUUUUUAAUAUUAAAGUUGAUAGUCAAGGGUAACCCAAGUAGUAUUUAUGAUUCUCUCUGAGAAAGUUCAUGAGAGUGUUUAACAAGUACAUUUCAAUAGUUACUUGCUUGAAUUGAAUGAGUCUCUCUCUCUGUGUCUGUCUCUAUCUACCAGGCAUCUGUCUACCUGUCUAGCUACUAUCUCUUCUUUUCAUUUACACACAGGGGUGCAUAUUCCUGUGGUAAGUUCCCUGUCGGUGUUCUCUAACAUACUGGGUAUGGUGGACAUUGUUUUUCUGGAAGCUCAGGAGGGUGAGUCAGGGACUCCGCCUUCCGGGAGCAGGUGAUCACUAUGAGGUGAGAACAACUCAAGAAAUCUCAGAGCUGAAAGGUAAUGUUUGACAUUGUAUUCAUUCCCUAGGGCUUUAAACAACAGAAAUGCACUAUCUCAUAAUUCUAGAGACCAGGAGUCUGAAAUCAAGGUUUUGGCAAACACACACCCUCUGAAGUCCCCAGGGGAGAACCUGUACUUGCUUUCUGCAGCUUCAGAUGUCUGUCUACAUUCCCUGACUUGUGACUGCCUCUAGUCUCUGCCCUGGAGUCAGAUUGUCUCCUCUCUUUCAGGCUAUGUGUCUUCUCCCCUGUGCAUCCAUCUUAUAAGGAUACAUGUGAUUGCAUUCAGAGCUCACUCAGAAAAUCCAAGACAAGCUCCUCCUUUCAAGAGCCUUAGCUUUACACCUUUACCAUAUUAGGCCAGAUUCACAGAUUUGGGGGGAUUAGGAUGUGGGCAGACAUAUCUUUUGGGAGGCUGUCAUUUGGCUCACGACAGAAGUCAUCAGUGAAGAGCAUUCUACUUUAUGACUCCCCAUUGGUGAUCAUCCAACUGUGUAGUUUGUACAGUUUGAGAAAUUAACACUCGUAAUGCACUUCAUUCCAUUUUCGGAGAGCAGGGAGAGGCAGAACCUCCUUUUAGCUGAGCCAGAAAUCCAAUUCCUCCUCACUGUGCUUGUUGGCCUUCCUAAUCAUUCUGAAAGUUAUGAUGAGAAUACCUCUGAUCUUUCUUCCAUAAGAAAAUCUUUAAAGUUCAACGGCUUCAUGUUAAGUCAACCUAGUCCUUUGCACCCCUUCUAAAUUUUCAUGUUCAUCCCUAACCUUUUCAUUUAUACUCGAUGCGUAGCAUCCACAUGUCUUUAAUUUUUACCAAUUUCUGACUCUGUUUGUUCUGUGACUUCCAUCUUCACCAGAUUCACAGAAAUGACUUGGCCAAAAAUGACCUGUCCCCUGUUAGUCACAAAACAAGAGGCCCUUUUCUGGGCAUCCCCUUUAAUCUCUCAGCAACACCUUCAACCUCCCUUAAUUUUCAAAGCAUUGUACUUUGUUGAUUCUCGUCCCCUCUGGUUUCUCUUUAUCCUCCAAGCCUCCCUGCCUUGACUCCUGAACAGCAUGAGGUUCUCAAAGACUUUCUCCUCGGUUGACUGGCCUGCCUUUCCUGCUCCCCUUUCCUUUUGUGACUCCAUUUAUUGUCAAGAUUUCCAGUACUCUUCAAUGUGGAUCACCCAUAUCAUCUCCAAGCCCAGCGUGGCUCCUGGAAGGGGCAUGUCCAUGAGCCUGCUGGAUAGUAGCCUUCAUCUCUUCCCUCCUCACCACACUCCUUUGAGGUUUCCUGUUCCUGUGGAUCGUGUCAGCAUCCUAUGGCUCCAGAUUUUCUGAGUAAUCUUGAUUUACUCUCUUCCUUCACUUAGAUACCAAAUUGUAAUAAUUCAACCAAAUAAUAGCUCAGCCUCUUGGCUUCUUUUCUUUCCUACUACCUACCUACUUGAUUCAUGGCUUUUCCAACUUUUAUGUGCAGUCAGAUCACGUGGGAAUCUUGUGAAAAGGCAGACUCUGAUUCAGGAGUUCUGGAGUGAGGGCCUGAGAAUCUGCUUUCCCAACAACCCCAGGUAAUGCAGGUGCAAUCAGACCUUCAUACCUUUCUGUUAGAGUCUCUGGGUUUUCCAGGUGAUUUUAUUGACUAUAUUGUCUUCAAAUACACUUUAGAGAUUAUUUUUAUUGAAGACCAAUUCUGAUCGUUUUUUCCUCCUAUCCUGAUAUGAGAAAAACUUCACUGAUAUCCUUUAUGCUAUCUAUUGAAUAGCAAUGAAAUUAGCAUCCAGCUAGCAUUCCAUAUGGUCCAUGGUUUGGAUUUACAUUAAUUCAGCCUCAAGUCUCAAGGUUACCCUGACUUUACCCACCCUACUUGCUGUUGUGAAUACCCUCUGCCAUUUUCAUGACUUUCUUGUGUUCUCAUGCUACUUGGAAUGCCCUUUCUUCCACAUCCUCAUGGGUCCAAAUUUUAGCAGCUUGUCAAGGACAAAGUGCUUGAAGUGAUACUUAAGCGACACUUUUCACUAUGAAUUCAUCUUUUAGUAACUGUAUCAGAUUCUCAGUUUCACCACUGAUCACGUUCACUUGUGUGUAAUAGUGUACAGUGUGUCGGAUUCCUGAUCUCCCAAGAAGACUUAGGUUUGGGACCAGGGACCAGAGUUGAUCACUCAAGAGCUUUUGUGUAGCAGAGUUUGGUUAAAGUGAAAAAGGGACAGAGAAAGCUCCUGACAUAGAAAUCAGAAGGAGGAUGGAGAGUUCCCUGCUUACUAGUCUUAGCAAGGGAAUGAUAUACUUUUUAAAUUGGUUAUUACAAUAAAUCACAAGAAUGUCUCAAGGUUGUAAAGAUCUUACUAGACCCACUCCCAUAAUGUACAUUCUAAGAUAUUAGUCAGAAGGUUUUCAAGAAGGAGAAACUGUCCUCAAGCAGGAUACAUUGUUGUUAUAUAAUCCUUAGUACAGAGAUAGAACUGAGUUGUUUGUGUGUAAUCAUCAGUUCAGGGCUUAGAGAAAAAAAUGUUUUAUGUGACUAAGACUAAAGAAUGUGGAGAGAGAGAGAGAAAAAAAGACAUUUGUCCUUUCCUCCUCCUUGAGAAUUCCAGACCCCUAUCUCCUCCUCAAGAACUUCCCCCCUUUCUCCCCUCCUUGGGGAUCCUGGACUUCUUAUCAACCUGCCUAGAAAUUGACUCUCAUGUGUGUGUAUAAGACUAGAGUGUGAAGUGCUGGAAUGAUGCCAUGUUUCAUUUGUCUGAAAUGGAGUAUUUAUAACAGAGUCACAGUCAUAAAUGCUCAAUGUAUGUAUCAAUGUGCAAAAUAUCACUUUUCUGUUUUUCUUAUUAUAAAAGUAACAUGGGUUAUACCAAAUUCAAAUAUGAAAGAAACAUGUGAAAACUAAAAGUUCAUCAUGAUCCAGUGCCCCCAAAGUAACAUUCGAUGCAUUCAGUUCAGUCAGUUCAUUUGCUCAGUCAUGUUCUACUCUUUGCGACCCCAUGGACUGCAGCAUGCCAGCCUUCCCUGUCCAUCACCAACUCCCAGAGCUUACUCAAACUCAGGUCCAUCGAUUUGGUGAUACCAUCCAACCAUCUCAUCCUCUGUCAGCUCCUUCUCCUCCCACCUUCAAUCCUUCCCAGAAUCAAGGUCUUUUCCAAUGAGUCAGCUCUUCAUAUCAGGUGGCCAAAGUAUUGGAGCUUCAGCUUCAGCAUCAGUCCUUCCAAUGAAUAUUCGGACCUGAUUUCCUUUAGGAUUGACUGGUUUGAUCUUCCUGUCCAAGGGACUCUUAACAUAAUCCUCUUAUAUUUUUCUGUACACAUUCUAACAUUUACUUUAUACAAAACUGGGAUAUUAAUACACUUUUGUGAGCUGACUUUCAAUAUAAAUCUACCUUCUUAAUUUUUAAUCUACAGUGUGUUCUAAAAGAUUGAUUGAUUUCAUUGCAUAAAAAUCCAUCCACUUAAAGUGGAUGCAAUAUAGAAAAAUGUUUGCUUUGAAUUUCUGAUUAGUUAAGCAUGUCUGUAUUCAGCACUUUCUCUGACCCUAGAAUUGUAGCAGACACUUUGGAUUUGUAAGAGUAACACAGAAAUACUACCCCAAAAGACACAAGUUAUGCCUGUGCCUUCAGGCUAAUGUCAAACAAUGGACUAAUGGAGGCAUGGUGGUGGUGGUUUAGUCGCUAAGUCUCUAACUCGACUGGCCAACUUCCCUUUCACUUUUCACUUUCAUGCAUUGGAGAAGGAAAUGGCAACCCAGUCCAGUGUUCUUGCCCGGAGAAUCCCAGGGACGGAGAGCCUGGUGGGAGGCCGUCUGUGGGGUCGCACAGAGUCCGACACGACUGAAGCGACUUGCAGCAGCAGCAGGGAGAAUUAGACUGAACACCAUCAGGGAGAAUUAUGGAGAAAAAAUAAAGUAUAUGAUCUAUGUCUUAGAAUGCCAAUAAGACACAGUGUAACACAUCUGUUGAAAAAGAAAUUUCUUUAGAAGUUUUAAUCAAUAUUCCCCUAAGAAUUUUGGAGACAGAAAUCUUAAUGAUGAUGAAUGUUAUUGCUACCCUAUUUGUCACUUUAAAAAGUCAGUUUUGGUAGAAUUCUAGAAGAUAAUUUCCCUGGAUAGUGGGAAGGCAGGUGUAUGUUCAGGGAAUCUAUAGAGUUGUCAGCAGAGCUGGUUGUGUUUUAUGAAGACAUACUUAUAAGUCGAGUGUUAGAUGGUAAGGGGAGAAAACUCUGAACCUAUGUGAGAUUUCUGCAGUCUGAAUCAAUGAAAUUAUAUAAAGAAGAUUUCUACAUCUUAUCAAGUGAUUUACCCAAGGCCACAAAAUUAAUAUGCUUGGAUCUUUUGACUCUGUGUCUGUUUUUCUCUAUCCUUUCAUGUUAAGUCGCUUCCCAGGAAUCAGCUCACCUCUUCUCACUUGACAGCCCUCUCUGUGAUUUCAGCUGCACUUAGAGCUUCAAGUGUCAGUAGGUGAAUUCUGUAGAACAAAACUCUUCCCUUGGGUGCUAGAUUUCCAUGUCGGCAUCCUGCUGGACAUUUCCAUAAAGAAUAUCAAUCAGGUACCUGUAAUGUUCCCUUUGGACUUUGGAAUCCAUCAUUUUUCUCCAAAAUAGGCCAUUCCUCCUGUUUUUCCUAACUUAAUCAAUUCCAUCACAGUCAUCCUAGAGUGGACUUCCUAGUGGUUCAGUGGUUAAAAAAAAAAAAAAAAAAAAUGCCUGCCAAUGCAGGAGACUCAGGAGAUGUGUGUUCGAUCGCUGGGUCGGAAAGAUUCCCUGGAAGAGGAAAUAGCAACCCACUCCAGUAUUCUUGCCUGGGAAAAUCCCACGGACAGAGGAGCCUGCUAGGCUACAGUCCAUGGAAUCCCAAAGAGUUGGAUGCAACUGAGCAUGCACGCAUCCUAGGAGCUCAAACUUGAACCAUUUUGAUUCUUUAUUUCCUAUAUACACUCCCUAAAUCUUAAUGGAUUUUCCUGAACUGUCUCAUCAGGUCCUUCCUUCUUACACCCACUUGCACUUCUUUGAUACGGCUCUCUCCCACCACCCCCUUGCACAGUCCCAGUGGCCUCUGACUUGUCUUUUUUACUUUGUUUGCUUUUAUCUAUUCUACAGGGAGAUCGAAGUCAUUUAUAGUUUGACUCUCCAUAACUUUCUAUCCUGUCUUCCUUCCACCCUCUGCUGUGACUCUGUAGGCACACCAGCCUGCUUGAGGAUCCUGGAAUAUGCCUGUUUUCCUGCCUCUAGGUUUCCAUGGAGACCUUCCAUACUUCUUAAAAUGCACUAGUCUAGGUUUGGCUGUUGUGGUCCUGCAGACAUGAGGAGGCCUGCCUGCCUCCUCCAAGACAGUUCAUCUUUUCAUUCCCUCUGCACCUUGAGUGUCUUACUUUCCUGUAUAUUGUCACAUUUGCCACACUUGUUUGCACUGGAAUAAUUUAUGCAAAUAUCAGAAUUUUCCUUUAGAUUUUGAGCUUCACAUCAGGAGUCGCCCAUUAUUUAUUUCUCUGUCCCCCAGGACUUACCCAUUGUAAAAUGGGGAUGAGCCGCUUGCCAAAUUGAGCGAUGGUUUACAUCUCUGUCAGGGUGGAGAUGUCCAUGUUAUGUUUUAUUCAUGAUAUAUUCCAAAGGCCUAAAACAGUGCUUGGCAAUACUGUUCUGGUAUGUGUUGUGAGUUCCUUUGGGUUGUGGGGUAGGAGAGAAAUCUGAGGUUUAGAAGUUGUCAGUGUAUUUUGAUAAUGACAAACUAGUUUCCAUGUUAAUGAACACUAAGAUGGUCUUGUUGAAUAUGAUACAGAAUGUAAUAGAAUUAUCACAAGUUGGACUCAGAGUUUCACUUGCUGGAAGGGUUGUCUGCAAGGAUAUAAUUAUUACACUGGUGAUCCUAACAUUUUGAGAGGCAUGGUCCUUCAGGGAACAUCUAACAGAUGAGGGCUCCUCUCACUGUCUAGUUCUAGUGGCCAGGACCUUUGAAGGAGUCAUUUUUGUUGGUUUCUGGCUGCUAUAGGCAGCCAGGUCUCCUGAGGGCUUUUUGUAAUCCCUGCAAAGAGUUCCAUCGCAGGGACUUAAGGUGAUAUUUCUACCAUUGUAGUCCAGGAUCAUUUGACCAAAAUCACUGGUUUAGUUGUUAAACUGUAGUCUUGGGGAUUGAAACCAGAUCAGCUGAAUCAUAAUGGAGGCAGGGUCUGUCCAUCUGCAUUUUAAAUAAAUAACCUUGAAUGAUGCUUCUGUCUGCUAAAUAUUAAAAUCUACUAAUUGGAGAGAGAGAGUGACAGAAUAUUUUGAUUGUAAGAUUGAAUGAGAUAGAGAAACACUUUGUAUUUUUUUAAAAAGUAGAUUAAUAGCCUGGAUUGGCAAGGGGUACAUUGUCUUAGGCUGUUCUCUGUUAAGAUGAGUCAUUCAAUUUAGGGUGUUUCUCAGACUUUGAGGAAGGGUGGAGUGCUCUUUUCCAUUGGAAUUUAAAUACAAUUGAGGAAGGACUAAGAUCUCAGGUGAAGAAUUAAGGUGAAACUAAGGGCUUCCCAGAUGGCACAGUGGUGGUGGAGACUCUGCCUGCCAAUGCAGGAGACACAGGAGACCCCGGUUUGAUCCCUGGGUCCGGAAGAUCCCAUUGAGGGGAAAUGGCAACACACUCUGGUAUUCUUGCCUGGAGUAUAUCCUGUGGACAGAGGAGGCUGGCAGACUCCAGUCCAUGGGGUCCCAGAGUCAGAUGCAGCUGAGUGCACAUUUCCAUCAAAUGUGCUCCCCUGUAGCUAAAUUUAUAGCUUAUUUUUUUUUUAAUAUGGAUAACAAUGUUUACAGGGUGGUGUAAAAACAGAAGUUAUCUCAAAUACAUCUAGUCCUCAACAGUUUUUCUUUGUUUUUAGUGUUAUAUCAUAAAACUAUAUCAGAAGCUGACCCCAUUUUGUCCUGUGUAUAAUGCUAUAUUUAGGAAUUAACUUUCUGAGCAAGUACAUCACAUAUAUCAUUGAUACAAACAAUAGGAUGUCAAGAAAGGAAGAACAAAAUAGUCUGUAACUGCUGCAUAUGUGCAUGGUAGUUUAACUAUUAUGAAUGUUCUUAGAAAGGGACAUAGAUUAGUUUUGUUCAUCAAUUAAAGGGAAUUUUACAAUAGAAUUCCAAACAUGGGUACAUUUUAAAAAUCAUAUACAACAACACUUAAUACUUUUACAUAAAUUUAAUGUAAAUUAUAUUGAUUUUAGAGAGUUAAACAAAAUUAUCAAUCGCCCUAUUCCUUAGAACUUUAGAAAUUCCUCUGAUAGGUGAUCCACAGUCUGGUCUAUUUUCAGCUUUGAAAAUAACAGUUUACAUUCAAUUUGCAUAAAAGUAUUAGGUUGGUGCAAAAAUAAUUUUGGUUUUGUAUUGUUGAACUUUGCCAUUUGAUAUAGAAUACAUUCUUAAAUAAAUGUGAUUACUGCGGUCUAUCGGGUCAUGAAGAGUCGGACACGACUGAACGACUUCCCUUUCACUUUUCACUUUCAUGCAUUGGAGAAGGAAAUGGCAACCCACUCCAGUGUUCUUGCCUGGAGAAUCCCAGGGACAGGGGAGCCUGGUGGGCUGCCGUCUAUGGGGUCACACAGAGUCGGACACGACUGAAGUGACUUAGCAGCAGCAGCAUGUUAUAGAAAAAUCUGCCAAGUUGCUGAAUUGUUUUAGUUACUUAUGUAGAUGCUAGAGAUAAUUAGAUGAAUAGUCAUUCUGCUUUGGUGGAACUUAUAUCUUUGUGAAUUCAGCAUCCAUAAAUCCUAAAAUCGUGUUCCUAGGGAUUUCUAACCAAGCCUGUUCCUACUUAGUGUCAAGAAGAGAAGACAUGGGAGUAUGAGGAUAGUAUAACCAAUUAGAUGUGUUAGCUUCCUAGACUUGGCUUUCUCCUGAUGGGGAAACAUGGGACUUAGAUUACAUUUUUCUCAGCAAAAUGUUGACACUUUCCUAGAAAAAGUAGAGUGCCAAUACUAAUUUUUGCCACUAGAUGGCAGACAUCUGCACUUUUGUGUCCAAUGAGUGAGUCAAAUUUUGAAAAAUUAAAAUGAGGUUCAAAAUGAUUCAUUUGAUAUGAAAAAUAAUGUUAGCCUCACAUGAAUGAGAGGUAGUGGUGACUGUUAUGCUCCAUGGAUACAAUACUUUAUGACCAUUUUUAAACUCCCUAGCAUCUAUUUUCAGUGUGGCUACCCACUCUGUUUUCAAAUGCAGGACAACCCAUUUUUUAAACUCUUUUUGAAAGUCACAUUUGUUAGUGAAGUUAUGAUAUAACAGACUCUUGAAUAUACUUUUACCAGUGUUCUUUUUGUACAAAAAAGUUAAAAUAGUCUUUGAAACUGAGGCAUAGACGAGCACAGUUGAUGGAUCUAGGGAGUAUGUUACCUUUACAGAUGUAACAUGAGAAACCAGUGUUUCAUUUUCUUGUGAGAGAAGAAACAAAGAUACUAGGUACUCUGCCUGGCUACUUCAUUUGAUCUACCAUUGGUUACAAGAGUCCAAAGAAAAUGCAGUGGGAACAGAGGUUAUAUCUGGCAAAUCACAUGUAUGAACCAAGACCAACAUCACUGUUACAGAACUGAAAGCUGGCCCAAAUCCUGCUGAUGAACAGCCUGCCUGUCUCCCCCUUUUAUCAAGGAGAUCACUAACCAAAGCAUGAAUCAAAGCAUGUCUUGGAAGACUGAAGGUGCCAUAUAAUGUGUUUUUGAAGUCCAAACCAGACUAAGCUAUAAAAAGUAGUGCCUACUGACUUUCUAAAUUUCUGAAACACCCAUACCAACUGUGUUCAUGUCUGACUACGUCAUGUCCAACAUUUGGCAGCCUCACGGACUGUAGCAUGCCAGGCUUCUCUGUCCUCCACCAUUUCCUGGAGUUUCCUCAGGACUCAAUUUAUAUCCAUUGAGUCGGUGAUACCAACUGAAGAUACUGUCUUUGACUUUCAAAGACAACAUUGUUUUGAGGAAGCUAGGUUCAGAAGGGGUUAUACAAAUUUGCAGCCAAGUCUUGAACCCUAGAUAUGCGUUUAUAGUCUACAAAGAUGUUCACUUAUAAAACAGAAUUUUCUGAGCCAAGUUGUUCUUGGGAUUCAAAGGGUAGAGAAGCCAGAUCUUUUUUGGAGGGAUACCAGGAACUUGGUUUAAAGGAUUUCACUUGAGAGAUCUCACUUUAAAAGACCAGUAAGGUUUAAAUAGAUAGAGAUAUAAGGUAAGCUAUUUAGGCAAAACUUACAUGUGAAAAAUCCCUACUGUUUUUUGGUCUAUAUCAUGCAAUCUCCAUCUCAGAGUCUUUGCACUUACUGUUCUGUUUGGAACAUUCUUUAUCCAGAAAUCUAUACAGCUUGCUUCUGUACUUAAGAUCUCUCCCCAGAUGUCACCUUAUCAGGUCAGCAUUUUGUGAUCACGUCCCAUGAAAGCAUGCACCCCUUCUAUCAUCAUCUCCCUAAUUGUUGUCCUUCUCCUGGAAAUUUAUUACCACUAAGAAAGUGCACAUUUUGUUUUUCAUUUAUUGUCUGUUUAUAUUCUUUACAGCGUGAGCUCUCUGAGACAGAGGAAUUGACCUUUUAAUUGUUAAAUGUCUAGUUCCUAGAACACUGCCUGACCCACAGUGGGCUUCUAUCAAACGCUAACUGAAUAAAUGAAAAUGCAAUGCCACUUUUUAUUAUUGCAGAAAGGAAAACUGACAAACCUAACCCAUAUUGUCCUUCGAACUAGGACCUUUUCUUUUGAACAAUCAUGUUGAAAUAAUUACUGAUAGCAUCAUUUAUAGUGAAUUACAGGUGACAGAUUAAUGACUGUAGACAUGAAGAACAAUGAAAUAAACUAGCACAUUCAGUCAAAUUGAACAGGCCUAGCUUUCUUUUCAAUCAUGAUGUUUUACCCCAUUUUUCUAUUACAAUUAGAUAAGAGGGAAGCAACUUGUUACCUUCUCAUUCUUUUCAAUCCUAUUUUUGUAAAUGCCCACUUACUUAAUUGUGAACAUAUGCUUUUAAAAAGGGAGUAAAGAAAUUCUUAUGGUUAUAAAAUGGAAGAAAAAGAGGAGGGAUUAUCUGAAUUUGGGAUUCUUUAUCAUACUUUGGGAAAUCAACAGUUGAGUGCCUGCUGUGUGUCACUAUGCAAAAUGUGAUACACAGCCAAAGGUGUGCUGGCCCCGGAUGCUCUUAGUUUUCUGUGACUUUGCUAAUAUGAUUUAGAGUGGUGCAGUUACACUGCGUCUGUUUAAAUAGUGUACUCUUAGGGGCUUCCCCGGUGGCUCAGUGGUAGAGAAUCUGCCAGCAAUGCAGGAGCCACAGGAAAUGAGGGUUCCAUCUUUGGGUUGGGAAGAUCCCCUAGAGGAGGGCAUGGCAACCCACCCCAGCAUUCUUGCCUGGAGGAUCCCAUGGACAGAGGAGCCUGGCAGUCUGCAGCCCAUUGGGUGGCAAAGAGUUGGACAUGCCUGAAACGACUUAGCACGCACGCAACCUAUUCUGUUAGAUUUUUUGACAACAAAUUCUAGGCUUGAAAUAUUGCUAAACACACUUGAAGGUAAUGUUUUCUGUAUUCCCAUCUGUCACAUAUUUAUUGAGUACUGCUAAUGCCAAGAUGCUGUUCCAUGCUGGAGAUAGAGUGAUACAGAAAGAAGACCGUGUCUUGUCUUCAUGGAGUUUGAGAUUUGAGUGGAUCAACUAAUUUUUCUUUCUGUUAAGAAGUAUCUUUAAAAAGUAAUAUAGUAAUAUUACUUAAUAUAUUAAUAUAGUGUAACAGACUGUCUGGUUUGAAGAAUGCUGAUGUGGACAUAAUCAUGAGAAGAUCAACAUCCCUAGUGCUGUAAUUUGUGUUAGUGGUUGGGUAGAAGACACUUCCUGGAGACAUGAUUUCUCUGAAACCUGAAAAAAGUUAAAGUGUUAGUCGCUCAGUCGUGUCUGACUCUUUGGGCAUCACCAAAUCACACACACCCACCUAAGUUUAGGAACUAUCUUGACUUCAGUUGGGCCUGAGUUUUUCCCAUCUCAGAUCUUGAAAUCGUAUGUGUAUGUGAAAACCUUUGGCAGUCUGGGCUCUGAAUCAAAUCAGAAAACAGUAUUUGUGCCGGUGUGACUUCAAAGCAGAUAUUUGAAAAGUUCAGAAGAUAUCUUACCAAGAUCACAUGGAAGUUAGUGGUCUAGUGGAAUUUGGGAUAAUCAUGAGCUUGACUCAUUGAUCUCUAAAAAGAUAACGGUGUCCUUGGAGUUGAAAUCAGGGAGUUCACUGAAAUGAUAAUGUCUUUUGUUUAAAAUCAGUGAUUUAGAUAAUAGGGAAGUUUUGAUUUGAGGGUGUCUACUUGUUCUUUCCUAACUUUUAAAGAACCUUCUGGUAUAUGGUAUUAGGUGUCUGAUAUUAUCCUUAAAAAUGGUUUUCCAUCACAAAAUGCUCUCAAGCUCCCAGAGUUUCUAAGGUCCUUCUCAGUUUUUACCAAUUUACAUUCUAAAUGUUUCCAACCAUUAUUUAUUCUUUUACCUUUUAUUUUAAUCCAGUGUUUCUCCACUGGAUUUUCCUCAUUAAUGCCACCCUUAGGAGCCUUUUAGACAUUUUUUUCCCCCUAAUAAUCUCUCUACCACAUGAAUAUUUCUAAAAUGGGAAAAGGACAAUUUUUUUGGACUCCUUUUUUUGGUUAAAUAAUUUUUUAAAAAAUCGUUUGACCAUGCUGUGAGGCAUAUAGGAUCCUAGUUCCCUGACCAGGGAUGGAACCCAUGCCCCUUACAUUGGAAGCAUUGGAGUCUUAACCACUGGACCUUCAGGGAAAUCCAACCACGUGAAGUUUUAAUACUAUAUAUUUAUAGCAUAUUUGUUUAUAAAAUAUGACCAUUUAGAGAGUCAGAAAUCAUUGCAAUCUCUAAGACUUUUUGCCCUCUCAGAACUCAUUUUCACCCCAUUUGGGCCAAUAUCACUGCCAUGGAAUGCAUACUUUAAUCAUUUAUGUCAUGGUGAUACGAAGGCGGGAGUGACUUCAUCCACCUCACACUCACAGUUCCCCAGUCCCCUUGCUUGACUCUCUCCCUAGAAGUUCUGCAGUGUUGACGAAAUUCGCUCAUUAAGCCUGCAACAUCCCUCCUCACCCACUUCCUCCAUCGCCACCUCUUUCUUGAAUCCUCUGGUCCUUUAGGACUGGUACUUGAGUGAGCUCACCUUCAGUCCCUCAAGAAGGAUUUCCGUGGAAAUGUCUGCAGGGUUGUCCCUUAAUACUUGGUUUCUGAGCAGUAGAAAAAAUCAAUAUACUUUUUUUCUUAAGCAAAAUGAGAAACUCUAAGAAUGAUUCCCUUGAUCUUCCUGCUCCUUCCUGCUUUUUUCAGCUCCUUUGGCUCAGGGAGUCCUAAACUGGUUGUGUUCUGCCUGGCAAAACUGCCUGUUCUCAGUAUCCAAGGGCAGUUGAGAUAAAAGCCUGCCCAGAUAUGUCCAUUCUGUUGUGUUUUUAAUAUGAUUUACACAGUACUUGGGGGCUUCUCAGGUGGGGCGCUAGUGGUAAAGAAUCUGCCUGCCAACACAGGAGAUGUGGGUUUGAUCCCUGGGUCAGGAAGAUCCCUUGGAGUAGGAAAUGGCAACCCACUCCAAUAUUCUGGCCAGGGAAAUCCCAUGGACAGAGGAGCCUGGUGGACUACAGUCUGUGGGGUCGCAGAGAGUCCAGACACAACUGAGCGACUGAACAGUAACAACAGUAUCCCUGGCAUUUAGAAAGUCAUAGUUCCCAAGGCUAUGAUAAAAUGACAGCAUCCUCAGGUGCCCACCACUCCCAGAUCCCCACUCAUGAGAGGCAACCAUUUUUAUCUCUUUAGGCCCUUUUUUAUAUCUGUUACUUACUCUCUAUAUCUCUAGAUAACAGUCUCUGGCAGCUAUGUCUUGCUUUUCGACUUGCUUUAAGGAUUUACUUCUUACUACAGAAAAUGAAGUUGUAGCCCUGUUGUAAAUCUCUUUUCUUUUACUCCCAAGAGAACCAUUAAAAUUUUUGUCAAAUCAAUAUUCAUUGCAAGCAAGUUAUUUUAAACAUUUUUUUUAAUGUGGACCAUUUUAAAAGUGUUUAUUAUAUAUGUGACAAUAUCGCUUCUGUUUUAUGUUUUGAUUUUUUGGCCACACAGCAUGUGGGAUCUUAGUUCCCCAACCAGGGGUUGAACCUGCACCUCCUGCAUUGGGAGGUGAAGUCUUAACCACCAGACCACCAGGGAGGUCCCUAUAAGCAUGUUUUGACUGUAUGUUUUACUCACUAUAGAACCAUUUACAGAACUAUGAUAUCUUCUUCUUAUAUUAUUUUUUGACUUUGUUGGAAUUAAUACUGUCUCAUUGUCUCCUUUUCUUCCCUGCAUCUCCCUCCCUCCCUUCCUGUCUUUCAUCUCUUCCAGAGUCUUUGCACCUUUUGCUCCAGUCAGAACUGGAUGCUCUCUGGACCUUCCAGAUAGCUUUCCUCUAGCAUUUUUCCUGGAGAAGGCAAUGGCACCCCACUCCAGUACUCCUGCCUGGAAAAUCCCAUGGACAGAGGAGCCCGGUAGGCUGCAGUCCAUGGGGUCGCUGAGGGUCAGAAACGACUGAGCAACUUCACUUUCACUUUCAUUCACUGGAGAAGGAAAUGGCAACCCGCUCCAGUGUUCUUGCCUGGAGAAUCCCAGGGAUGGGGGAGCCUGGUGGGUUGCCGUCUAUGGGGUCGCACAGAGUCGGACAAGACUAAAGUGACUUAGCAGCAGCAGCAGCAGCAGCAGCAUUUUUCCCUCAGUAGACCCUUCCCCAGAUUGUCUCUUUUCUUCAGAGAUCUUCAGUUUUACUUUCUGCAGAGUGAGAGCAAUAAUGACUAUCCCGGCUCUUGCUAGUUCUCAGGAACAUUAAAUGAGCAUAUAUCUAAAUAGUAGUAGUACUGGCACACAGUACACAUCCCCAAAAUAUUAAAUAACAACUUAUUGCUACUGUGUAUACUGUAUGGUUAUUUUUCCAUUAUUAUCUUACCUGUCUCAAUGGAACAUUUCUGUGGGACAAUAUGAGUAGAACAGGAGCUCACUUUGGAAUAAGUAAGAGCCCUGCAGACUGGUAAUGUCAUCAGGCAGGCAUGCUGAGUCGACAGAGGAUGAGAUGGUUGGACGGCAUCACCAACUCAUUGGACAUGAAUUUGAGCAAAUUCCUGGAAGAUAGCAAAAGUCAGGGAAGCCUGGUGUGUUGCAGUCCGUUGUGUUGCAAAGAGUUGGACAUGACUGAACCACAACAAACACAUGCUCAGUUGCUCGUUCGUGUCCAGCUCUUUGCACCUUGUUGGACUGUCGCCUGCCAGGCACCUCUGUUUGUGGGAUUUUUCAGGCAAGAAUAAUGGAGUGGGGUGCCGUUCCCUCCUCCAGGAGAUCUUCCCAAUCUAGGGGUCAAACCCACAUCUCUUGCGUCUCCUGCAUUGGCGGGUGGAUUCUUUACAACUGAGCCACCUGGGAUGCCCAUGAUGCCAUCAUACUUAUUACCGUUAAUGUAAUAAGUAUGUAAUGUAAUAAGUAAUUACUGUUAAUGGUCCAACAUACCGUGGACUUCUUUCAAGGGUCAGUUAGAGCAGAUACCACCCGAAGGAGAGAAGGAUAGUUCUUUUUAGUGUGACUGAGGUUUGUUGGUUUCCCACUGAUGCCCUCCCUGCCCUGCACUCUGACCCUGACAAGACAAGCCCAUUUUCUGUGAAUAUGAGGACUGAACUCUAAUCUGAAUUUAAGAUGUGUACUGAUGUCUUUUAGGAAUGUUUUACAUUUUAUGAACUUCAAUCAGCUACAAUAUUAUUUGAAUAAAAUGGUGAGGCAUGAAAGAGUGAGUGUCUAUGUUGGAAUAGAGAACUCUCUUGUCCAGAAUAUAUAGCUAAUUAAUUAAAUGGAAAGGCUCAAAAUCAAGUAUUAAUAUAUUUAGAUGUUACUUUGCUGUUAGUGUGGCUUUGGGAUGUUGAGGGUACACAUACACACAUAAUAAACAUAUUUUUAAAAAUUAAGAACCAAAUGCCAAUUUGUUUUCCAUUGUUGUUAUCUCCAUUACCAAUGUUUGCUUGGUUGGUUUUAAAUCCUAUUGAUGAUACCAGAAGAAUAUAAACCCAAGGGGGGUAGAUGUUUGUUGAAAAAGACGGGGUGUUUGACAAAAAGAAUCUGAGUUUUAGACUCUCCUAAACACUUGUCACUAGCAGAGAUGCCACAGUAAUUUAAAGAGCAGUUCCCGUGUUGCCGUUGGAAGAGGCGGUGUCUGUCACUGAGCACCUAAAUGUGUCCGAAUCCUGGGGCAUAGGCACAGCUCAUCACUGCUGUGCUGUUUCGACUGCUCCUUUGCUAGCUUUCUAUUCACAGUUGAUUUUGCAUUGAACCACAUGCUUUGAUGAUAGUUAAAUACUUGUCCUUGAUAUAAUGAGAAGAAUACCUCUGAGGUGAAUCACACAAGUGGCCUACCUUGUUUAAAAGAGAUUAAUCCCUCCCUUACUUGGAUUGCCAUAAACCUAAGCAAUUUGAAGAUUCACUUAGGUGUCAUCUACCUGAGGCAGGCAUUUACAGCCCUUUGGAGUUACUUGGAACGAACCAUCUUCCCUCCCGUCCCAUUGGCCCGUGCUAUGUGGCAUUACAAAAACACCAACCUCUAUCUUUGCUCCACAGCACGUAGUGAAAAGUUUGGAACAGAACAAAACAGUUUAGAUCACAUAACAGGCUUUUUGAGAAGAUGGACUAGCACAGACGGUGUGCCUAGUUGCAUCUAGUUCCUUAAAUUCUGUCCAGCUGAGAUUAAAGAGGAUUAAUUGGAUUAAUUGAAUGCAUACAGUAGAAGUUUUAUUUCAUUAACAUGAUCAAUUUCUUUGGAGCUCCUGCCCUUGAUGAACAAUGGCUCUUAGUGUAGAUACAGGUAGAUUGUAGGAAACCUACAGUUUGAGCCUUUCUGGAGAAUAAUUCACUGACCAUAUAAAUAUUAAUAUUUACAAAAUAUUGUGUGCUUACUCAGUGUUGGAACAGCACUAAAUACUUCCUUUGUAAUACACCACUUAAUUCUUGAAAUAAUAUACAAGGUAGGUACCAUCUCUGUUUAUUAGAUAUGUAUAGGUUAAAUGACUUAUCCAAAUCAGGUUUCAGACAAAUGAGUGUUUGACUCUGGUUCUGGUUAAAGAUGUUUGCAAUCUCUGGACAAAAAAAAAAUGGAUUUUAUAGUCUGAUCAGAGAAAAAUUAUCUUUUUAUAGAAGAUACUUUUUAUAUCCCUUUCUCUGUGUCAUAGUAACAGCUUGUUAAAUUUAAAAAAAUUAAGGAAAGAAUAAAAAUAUGAAAAGAAGGAAAAUUAAAGUAACUGGAGGAAAAAAUAAAGUUGUAAAUAGAUAAUGGACCCAAAUUUGGAUAAGGAAAAAUUUAAUAUAUCUAAAAGUAUGAUUCUUUAGCUGCAUUGCUGAGACAUACCUGUGAUAAUAAAUUUUCAUUACCAAUGAAGAAUGAAGCCACGGGGAUGAUCCAGAG